UACGGGGGGAGCAAGCGUUGUUCGGAUUUACUGGGCGUAAAGGGCGCGUAGGCGGCGCAACAAGUCACUUGUGAAAUCUCCGGGCUUAACCCGGAGCGGUCAAGUGAUACUGUCGUGCUAGAGUGCGGAAGGGGCUACUGGAAUUCUCGGUGUAGCGGUGAAAUGCGUAGAUAUCGAGAGGAACACCUGCGGCGAAGGCGGGUAGCUGGGCCGACACUGACGCUGAUGCGCGAAAGCAUGGGGAGCGAACAGG
rnacentral:rRNA from 1 species